UAUGAACACUACUGUAAGUCACUCUGGAUAAGAGUGUCUGCUAAAUGACUACAA
rfam:Salmo salar isolate Sally breed double haploid chromosome ssa07, whole genome shotgun sequence.